UCUUCCUACGGGGGGCAGCAGUGAGGAAUAUUGGUCAAUGGGCGUAAGCCUGAACCAGCCAAGUCGCGUGAGGGAUGAAGGUUCUAUGGAUCGUAAACCUCUUUUAUAAGGGAAUAAAGUGUGGGACGUGUCCUGUUUUGUAUGUACCUUAUGAAUAAGGAUCGGCUAACUCCGUGCCAGCAGCCGCGGUAAUACGGAGGAUCCGAGCGUUAUCCGGAUUUAUUGGGUUUAAAGGGUGCGCAGGCGGUCUGUUAAGUCAGCGGUCAAAGCCCGGGGCCCAACCCCGGCCCGCCGUUGAAACUGGC
rnacentral:rRNA from 1 species